GACUCGACACGCCGACGCCGUCUGGUGGAUGGCUUGGCUUGAGCGCCGAGGAAGGGCGCGGCAAGCUGCGAUAAGCCCCGGGGAGGCGCAUGCAGCCUUCGAUCCGGGGAUUCCCGAAUGGGACCUCCCAUUGUAGGGGCCCUAAAAGCCUCUACAAUGCUCCCAAUCGGGAGCGGGAACCCCCCGAACGGAAACAUCUUAUUAGGGGGAGGAAGAGAAACCAACAGGGAUCCCCUGAGUAGCGGCGAGCGAAAGGGGGAGAGUCCAAACCAAACCCUAUGGGGAAACCCAUGGGGGAUGUGGUGUUGUUGGGGCCCAGCCGCCUCCUCCUCGGUGAAGCUGAAGUGGCCUGGAACGGCCCGCCGUAGAGGGUGAAAGCCCCGUAAGCGUAAGCCGAGUGGAGUUGGGCUGGUAGCCCAGAGUACCGUACCCCGGCUUGGGUACGGGAAUCCGGGAGCCAUCAACUUCCAAGACUAAACACGUCUCAAGACCGAUAGCGAACAAGUACGGUGACGGAAAGCUGAAAAGCACCCCGGAAGGGGGGUGAAAAGAGCCUGAAACCAGACGGUUACACGAACGUGCGCGGCCCGGAAGGGUAGAGCCCUCCCAAAGUUGAACGCGGCGACGCGGGAU
rnacentral:rRNA from 1 species